rnacentral:rRNA from 1 species
CCUACGGGGGGCUGCAGUGGGGGAUAUUGCACAAUGGGGGGAACCCUGAUGCAGCGACGCCGCGUGGGUGAAGGAGCGUUUCGGCGCGUAAAGCCCUAUCGGCAGGGAAGAAGCUGACGGUACCUGACCAAGAAUCCCCGGCUAACUACGGGCCCGCAGCCGCGGUACUACGUCGGGGGCAAGGGUAAUCCGGAUUUACUGGGUGUAAAGGGGGCGCAGACGGCAAUGCAAGCCAGGAGUGAAAGCCCGGGGCCCAACCCCGGGCCGGCUGUUGGAACUGCAUGGCUGGAGUACAGGAGGGGCAGGCGGAAUUCCUAGUGUAGCGGUGAAAUGCGUAGAUAUUAGGAGGAACACCGGUGGCGAAGGCGGCCUGCUGGACUGUGACUGACGUUGAGGCCCGAAGGCGUGGGGAGCAAACAGGAUUAGAUACCCGUGUAGUC